GGGGCUCUUCGGACCUCAUGCUAUCGGAUGAACCCAGGUGGGAUUAGCUAGUUGGUGAGGUAAUGGCUCACCAAGGCGACGAUCUCUAACUGGUUUGAGAGAAUGACCAGUCACACUGGAACUGAGACACGGUCCAGACUCCUACGGGAGGCAGCAGUGGGGAAUAUUGCACAAUGGGCGCAAGCCUGAUGCAGCCAUGCCGCGUGUGUGAAGAAGG
rnacentral:rRNA from 1 species